CUUGCUGUGUCCUUCCCUAGCAGCCAGGCCAGUCCUUCAGAAAAGCUUUCCUGUGGCCUGUGUUCGGUCGGUCUCCCUCCGUACACUGCGGGCUGUGAUGCGUGAGCGCCAACUAUGCAGCACUCACUGUGUACGAGGCUCCAGUCUGGGAGAUGCAAGGAUGAGAAACCAGCUCUGGUCUCAUGAAAUCUGCCAUCUCCUUUGUUCCAAAGAGGGGUGGAGGGAGCAGACUUCUCUGAGGGAAGGGAGAGACAGAGUCUCACUUUAUCGCCCUCAGAAGAGUGCCGUGGCGUCAUACAGCUCACAGCAACCUCCAGCUCUUGGGCUUCCACGAUUCUCCUGCCUCAGCCUCCCAAGUAGCUGGGACUACAGGUGCCUGCCACAACCACCUGUUGCAGUUAGGCCGGGGUUGGGUUUGAACCUCCAACCUCAGUAUAUGGGGCCGGUGCCCUACUCAUUGAGCCACAGGCACCACCCCAUCUUAUUUCUUUCAGAUAGAAAUUACUAUUCACACUAGAAACACUAAUACUUAAGAGUUAUACCAAGACUGUCAUGUUUAGGAUAGUGACAAAUCAUUGGGCAGUUAAAAAAAAAAAAAAAAAAUCCGGGCAGCACCUGUGGCUCUAAGGAGGGCACGGGCCCCAUA